GGUAAUUUUCAGGUGCAGGCUGAUAGGAAUAUGCCUCUUAAGAAAAUUUUAAAGAAAAGCAACAGUGUAAAGAAAAAAACAACCUGAUUUUAAGUGUAUCAAUAAUUUUUAAAUUUUCACAAAGCUAUGUACCUCAAUGUCAGAUAUUUGAUUGUGUUUACAAGUCAUUUCUCUAGGAAAGAAGACAGGGAAACAGUGCCUUAACAGAUAUCCCCAUUUGAAUCAGCCCCUUAGCCACUAUGUUGUAGAACUGCCUGUCUGUUUAAUCUCAUACAACUUAGAUGUUGGGAAAGGUAUACACAUUGAAUAGGUGGUAAACAUAUGUCUAACGCCUGGAAUAAGUAACUAUUCCAUGGUCAAGCUGGUGUUUAUAGUAUUGUUAAGUUUAGUGAAAUGUUGUUGUGGAGAAACCUUAAUCUCUGUACCACAUGUGUAUGAAGAACAAAAAAAAAAAAAUCAAAUUAUGUGAAUGCAAUGUGAAAACCUUUCAUUUGAUAUUCUUCUUUCAAUAGCUAUAUGGUCACAGUGGAUCCAAACUGUGUGAGUAUAGGGAUAUUAAAAGAAGCAGUGUACCUCUCGUCCAGUAGACUUAGAAGAUCUGUAGUAGUCCCCACUUUGAAUAGACUUUCUGGAUGUGGUAAAAGUUUACAAUUAAUUUGUUUUCCAACUUUAUUGGAAAUAUAACCACAAACUGACACUACAGAAAAAUCCCUGUAUGCUAGGAAUGUGAAGACUUACACUGUAGGGAAAUUUAUGAAGGGAAUUAGUAUGGUAAAGCUUUGCGUUCUUCCAGUUCUCUUCAAAUAUGAAAAAAAUCUCAUAUAGGAAAAGGAUAUUAUAAAUGGGAGCAAUAUAAUAAAUGCUCUUAUCAUCACAGGUAUCUUCAGAGACACAAAACUAACCCUUAAUGAAUGGAAACAUCAUGAAUGGAAACAAAAUGUGGAAACCUUAAGAUCUGAUUCCUCUUUAUCAUUAGAAUACAGUGUAAAACUCAUUUGUAGAGGUAAAAAGAUUAAUUAGUGUAAUGAAUGUGGUAAAGCUUUCACAUGUUUUGAUUAUUGUUGCAGGCAUGAAAGAAGUCAUACUGGAGAAAAACCUUCUGUAUAUACUCAAUGUAAUAAAGCAUUUGCAUAUC
rnacentral:lncRNA from 1 species